rnacentral:lncRNA from 1 species
UUUGAGGUCAAUGGGGCAACCAAAGGUCUACUGGUGGCUACUAAAGGAUUCUGGGGUCAAUGGUGGCCACCAAGGGUCUACAGAAAGGGUUUUGGGGUCAGUGGUGGCCACCAAAGGGUUUUGGGGUCAACUGGUGGAAACUGAAGGGGUUUGGGGUCUACUGGUGGCAGCUGGGGGGUCAACCAGUGGCAACUGGGGUCUACUGGGAUGAGGUUACGGGGUCAGGGGGUCCCUUGGUGGUCCUGGGGUGGAUUUUGGGUCACUUUAGCUCUAAUUUGGGGCAAUUUGGGUCCAGUUAUGAAGGUUCUAGGUCCUUCAAGGUGGGUUUUGAAGCCCGGGGAGAUAUUUGGGGUUAUGGGGUCGGGUUUUGGGGUCCCCUACAAGAUAGUUAUGGGGUCGGGGGGGUCCCUCGGUUGUCCCGGGGUAGAUUUUGGGUCACUUUAGUUCUAAUUUGGGGCAAUUUGGGGCAAUUUGGAUCCAUUUAUGAAGGUUCUAGGUCCUUCAAGGUAGCUUCUGAAGCCCGGGGAGCUAUUUGGGGUUACGGGGUGGGGUUUUGGGGGUCCCUUGAGACGUAAUUAUGGGAUUGGGGGGGGUCAUCUGGUGUUCCUAGGGUGGAUUUUGGGUCACUUUAGCUCUAAUUUGGGGCAAUUUGGGUCCAGUUAUGAAGGUUCUAGGUCCUUCAAGGUAGCUUCUGAAGCCCGGGGAGCUAUUUGGGGUUACGGGGUCAGGUUUUGGGGUCC